GAUCCUGGUUCAGGACGAACGCUGGCGGCGUGCUUAACACAUGCAAGUCGAACGGAGCACCCUUGAUUGAGGUUUCGGCCAAAUGAUAGGAAUGCUUAGUGGCGGACUGGUGAGUAACGCGUGAGGAACCUGCCUUUCGAGAGGGGGACAACAGUUGGAAACGACUGCUAAUACCGCAUGACGCAUUUUGAUCGCAUGGUCGAAAUGCCAAAGAUUUAUCGCUGAAAGAUGG
rnacentral:rRNA from 1 species